ACGUAGGGCGCGAGCGUUGUCCGGAUUUAUUGGGCGUAAAGAGCUCGUAGGCGGCUUGUCGCGUCGUUCGUGAAAACCUGCAGCUCAACUGCAGGCUUGCGGUCGAUACGGGCAGGCUGGAGUUCGGUAGGGGAGACUGGAAUUCCUGGUGUAGCGGCGAAAUGCGCAGAUAUCAGGAGGAACACCGGUGGCGAAGGCGGGACUCUGGGCCGAUACUGACGCUGAGGAGCGAAAGCGUGGGGAGCGAACAGGA
rnacentral:rRNA from 1 species